GGAUGUAGUUCAGUGGCAGAGCUUGUGCCUAGCAUGUGGAAGAUCCUGGGUUCAACCCCAGCUAUCCC
rnacentral:tRNA from 1 species